rnacentral:ncRNA from 1 species
AUGAUGUAUGAAAGGAAAGAAGGUUAGCACUCCCCUUGACAAGGAUGAAAGGGGCCCUCCAGCCUUUACAACGUGCAUAUGGCUAAGGCAUCUAAACAUGGUUUAAAAAAAUAAAAAAAGAAAUGGCUACUAAUAAUAUUU